GAUGAACGCUGGCUACAGGCUUAACACAUGCAAGUCGAGGGGAAACGACGGGGAAGCUUGCUUCCCCGGGCGUCGACCGGCGCACGGGUGAGUAACGCGUAUCCGACCUGCCUCUGACUGAGGGAUAACCCGUCGAAAGUCGGCCUAAUACCUCAUGGCAUCGUCUGCGGGCAUCCAACGACGAUUAAAGAUUUCAUCGGUCAGGGAUGGGGAUGCGUCUGGUUAGCUUGUUGGCGGGGUAACGGCCCACCAAGGCGACGAUCAGUAGGGGUUCUGAGAGGAAGGUCCCCCACAUUGGAACUGAGACACGGUCCAAACUCCUACGGGAGGCAGCAGUGAGGAAUAUUGGUCAAUGGGCGAGAGCCUGAACCAGCCAAGUAGCGUGCAGGAAGACGGCCCUAUGGGUUGUAAACUGCUUUUAUGCGGGGAUAAAGUGAGGGACGUGUCCUUCAUUGCAGGUACCGCAUGAAUAAGGACCGGCUAAUUCCGUGCCAGCAGCCGCGGUAAUACGGAAGGUCCGGGCGUUAUCCGGAUUUAUUGGGUUUAAAGGGAGCGUAGGCCGUGGAUUAAGCGUGUUGUGAAAUGCAGGUGCUCAACGUCUGCACUGCAGCGCGAACUGGUCCACUAGAGUGUGCGCAACGCAGGCGGAAUUCGUCGUGUAGCGGUGAAAUGCUUAGAUAUGACGAAGAACUCCGAUUGCGAAGGCAGCUUGCGGGAGCACAACUGACGCUGAAGCUCGAAAGUGCGGGUAUCGAACAGG
rnacentral:rRNA from 1 species